rnacentral:rRNA from 1 species
UACGUAGGGUGCAAGCGUUGUCCGGAAUUAUUGGGCGUAAAGAGCUCGUAGGCGGUCUGUCGCGUCGGAUGUGAAAACUCGGGGCUCAACCCCGAGCCUGCAUUCGAUACGGGCAGACUAGAGUUCGGUAGGGGAGACUGGAAUUCCUGGUGUAGCGGUGAAAUGCGCAGAUAUCAGGAGGAACACCGGUGGCGAAGGCGGGUCUCUGGGCAACAACUGACGCUGAGGAGCGAAGGCGUGGGGAGCGAACAGG